AUCCCUUUUAUUCUUUUCUUAAAAUUAAGGGCGAUUUUAUUUAUCGGUUAGGGCAUCGCAAAAGUCUGUGAGAAAACUGAUUUCAGAGCUUUGGUGAUUGUCUCACACUACUAACAAGGAAUUCAACCAAAAUGGGUGAUUCAUCAAUGAAGAAAGGUUUUGAUUUGGUUCAGUUAACAUCUCCACUGAAGAAAGUUGGUGAUUUUGCUCGUGGGAAAUUGUCAUCUGAAGUUGAAACCCUAAAAAGGAGGAGAAAAAAGAUCCUUAUUAAGAUAUAAUUGCAUCUCAAAAAGAAACUCUUAAAACUCUUCAGCAAGGGGAAACUGCUAUUCAGAUCAUCUUAGGUGUGACUGCUGCUUCAAUGGCUUCGGUGGUUGUUUUAAAGGCUCUUGAGUUCUGAGCGUAAUUGAAGAUAGAAUUGUAAUUAUCAAGGUUAAGGUGAUAUAAUUAAAUUAAUCAGUUCAGAUAAUUUAUAAAAAUUAUUAGGUUUAGUUUUAGGAGGGAUUAGACCAACAAAAAAGGUUACAACUUCUGUUUUUAUGUAAUGUUGGUAUAUUAAGUUAAUGGAAAUUGGAUUUUUAUGGAAUUGGAUUGAUCUUAUGAGUCAUGACUACAAAUUUCCCCCUUCUACUAAUAUUUUUGUGCUUGAUUGUGUUGUAUGAUUGGAUUUUACCCAAAAGGAAUACCAAAGAUAAAUCAAUGAAUUUAAACUCCCUUUGGUAGUUGGAUCAUUUCACUCAUCUUGAAUUUAAACUUAUAAACCUUUUGACACAAAAUCUAUAAGUCUUUGCAUGUAUCAAUCCUAUGGAAUCUAUCACAAAACCUGAUCAUAGUAGGCUUUGGCCAAAUGAUGAAAUCAAUAAGAAAUAAAAAAUCAUGUUGACGAACAGUUAUAGCUGCAUAUGGGGUCGUUUAAAUUUGUGAAUCACUUCAACAGCUAUCAUUUUCAUUGAAAUGCUUUGAUGAAUGGCUUUCUUCUUACUACUCCAAUUUUUUUUUUUUUUUUUUGUGAAGUUGCUUUUUUCUGUGCUGCCCCAAUUUUAUAUUCGAAAUGGCGCCUCUAUUCUGAUCACUCUAGAUGUUUGUGUGUUUUGUGUUUCCUGAUAUUUUAGCUCAUUGUAAAACCUAAUUACAGUAGCAGGUAAUGACAAGAAUCCAAAAUUGUUUAAAGUUGCCUGAUGAACAAUUAUAGCAUCUUUGGAAUCUAAGGAUGAAGCAAUGGAGAUGCCUUUAGUAGCCUAUUCGAAAUCUUUGUUAUGCAGUAUUGCCAGCGUUGGAUGCAAGGUUUCAUCUGCAUCUUCUGUUCCAGAAGUGCAACUUCCAUAUCAUGUUGUUGUCCUCGAAAUGCUUGCUAUAAAUGCAGUUGCUUCAGCAGGUUUCAUAGGUUUAUCAGGAGAUGAAAAUCGAGGUCUUGUCCAAGGAACCUUCAGUCUGACAGGCUUCAGGGCCAUCUGACCCUUCUUGAUGAGUCUUUGAUUAAAACGAGAGGGUUGAUUUAUCCUCUAGUUUAGAAGGCGUCGAGCACUAAAAGCUUCUCCUGCCAUAAAGUCAACAAUUGAAAAAGUGAAGAACAGCAAGAGAGUCAUUUGUUGGUAAUGGAACUUGACGAAGAGUCCGAAGGACAAAAGAUACAGAAAGUUACCGCUUAGGCAGAGAAGAUCAGGCUUGCCAGAGAAUCUUAUGAAAGGGAGCAACAAAGAAUUAAUAGAGAGCUAGAAGAGAAGGAGAGAUGUAUGACACAAGGUCUUUACUUGUAAACGCAGAGAAAAACAGUAGCUGAAAGAGAAGAUCGGAUUUAGAAGAAGCUUCAGAAACUUGCUAAAACCGUGGAUUAACUGAAACGAGCAAGAAGAGAAGAGGAAGCCCCUAUUGCUGUUAAUUUCAUUAUAAUGCGCAUCAUUACAACCAUUUCUAUAUAUAUUCUAUAUGAAAGCGGUCCACAGUAUAUCAGUUGCUCUUGCCUGCGGCAUAUUUUGUUUUCUCGACACAUUGCCUCAUUUGCUCAUUUAAAACUACUCUGAUCCUGAAUUUGUUUCUUUGAGUGGGUCAUGAUGUUUCAUGUUCAUCCGCAGCAAGAGGUUGAGCUGGCCGGGGAACAACAUGUUGGAGACCUUCAGUAGAAGAAUAUGUUUCGAAGGAUGAUGGCGAAUGAGGUAUCAAGUGAUGAUGUAUCUUUUUGGGCGUAAACAUUCUCCAGGUUAGAAAGAGGGAUGAUCGUACUGCCCAAAAUCUUCAGGAGCACAGGAAACAAGAAAAAGGCGGAGAUUUUACUUGAGGUCCGAGGAGGAGAGACAGAAGAUUCCACACUGAAACAAAAGUGAUUCUUGUUUCUUAGUUAUAGUUAGGUCUUGGAACUUGGAAGACUUGAGGAGAAACCUAGCAAAUUGCCAACGAACUUGGCUUACGGCUGGGGCUAAACUUCUCCGAUUUUUUUUUUGUUAUAUGUUUUUUAUUUCUAACGUAUAGAAAAUGUUGUGUUUAUCUCAAGUUCUUGCAUGCAAUGGUGAGAUGAUCACAUCCCAAGCAUGGUUGCCAUAGUGUUUUCCUUUUCUCUUACAAUUUGGAAGCUAUCUGGGAUUUACAGACGCUGAAAGGGAAAGAAGAAUUAGUGAGAUAAACCAAGUUGGACGAGCUAGCCGAGGAGGAGGCCGAGUUUAAUAGAGCACACCACCUGUUCCUGCUGCUUCCGUACCAGGUGCUUGUACUUCCACAGGUGCACCUUGGACUACUGGUCCAGCACGGAAUAAGUAAGUACAUAGGUUCGAGAGGGCACAAUAUUGAGCUGCUGCGGCAACACUUUCAGAAUCUGAUUUGAUUGAUGGGGUUCGAGACAAGAAUAUCUGCAUCAACCUGCGAAUCCUUGAUAGAUAAGUUGCACUGUGAUAUAUGUCACUAGGUUCUGGGGACUAGCCUUAAAUGAGCACCCCUCAUCUAGACACAUUUGAACUGAAUCUCGCUUGACCCUCGUAAUAAUUUCAUAUUGAGAGAAAAGAAAAGCGGGAUAGAGAACUUUGUCUCUCAGAAACAUAAAGGAAAUUAUCUUAGUAGAAAUUACUUCCAGAGUUUCUUUCCUCCAGUACAGCAGUUGUAUUAUUAUACAAUUAGGGGGAUUUUGAUCCCAAACUCUACUCUUUUUUUUUUCCAACUCUAGCAGUUUUAGAAAGAAUAUUUGCUACUUUAUUCUUUUCCUUAGGCAUGUAAUGACAUUGCCAAGGAAUCUGAUUCACUAAAGAAAACUCUAA